UACGGGGGGGGUAAGCGUUGUUCGGAAUUACUGGGCGUAAAGGGCUCGUAGGCGGCCAACUAAGUCAUACGCGAAAUCCCUCAGCUUAACUGGGGAACUGCGUCUGAUACUGGAUGGCUUGGAUUUGGGAGAGGGAUGCGGAAUUCCAGGUGUAGCGGUGAAAUGCGUAGAUAUCUGGAGGAACACCGGUGGCGAAGGCGGCAUCCUGGACCAAUAUUGACGCUGAGGAGCGAAAGCCAGGGGAGCAAACGGG
rnacentral:rRNA from 1 species